rnacentral:lncRNA from 1 species
UCUGAGCCUUGCUUUCCUGGUCUGCAAACCGAUAAUAAUAACAGUACCUACCUCAUAAAGUUGUUAAGAGGCUUAAGUGCAAUAGCUCCUGUAAAGCGUUGACAUACAGCAAGCGCUCUACACACAGGCGAGGCUGUUUUAAGUACACGUGUAUCCAUUCACAAGGUCUUAGAGACACAUUCCGUUGUUAGUUUAGACACUGGCAAUAAAACGUUUUUCUUUUCGUCUAAGCUGCACCCUUAUUUGUUUUCCUCGAACAGUAGAGUAAAUACCUAUCGACAGACAUGUCAUCUAUGGACCCCCGGGCCCACAGUCGCACGGUUCCUCCACGUCCGCGGCUGAGCAAAGGAACUGCACGCACGCGCAAGAAAGGAGGUCGGAGGAGUGAGACUGAGGAAGCGAAGUGAGAGCGGCGAACAGCCACGAUUCUGCGCAUGUUCAAGGCGCGGAGGUUGGGGUAGGAGUUUGCGCAUGAGCAGAAGUGUCGGGAAAACUGGAGAAGGGUUCGGAGGCGGUAUUGACAGCUGUGGAGGCAGCCCGCGUUCCCGGCAUGCCCCGGGGCGGCGGGGUUGGCUCUAACGAAUUUGAAUGAGGAGCCUCAGCGCUUUCGGCGCCAUUUUCGAGUGAUGCCUGAUCUCAUCAAUCUAGCGGGAGAGACGGGAUAACCUGUCCGAGAUUAUAGCGCUACUAGGACUCCGCCGAAAAAUCACCAAAAAAAUCGCCAAAAAUUACUUUGAGCAAAGGGCAGUCCGUGGGGCUUCGCCAGGAUUGGCGCAGACGGUUUUGACCUUUAGGAGAGAGCCAAUUCUGGAGAACAACCUAACUUCUUUGAUUGAACACUCACAUAAUGCAUUGGAACAUGAUAGGAGAUUAAGGUUUAAUGAUAAAAUGAAGACCAUAAUAAAACAGUCCCCCUCCUUAGCUCAGGAAUUCUUACCUUGUAAG